rnacentral:rRNA from 1 species
ACUUACGGCCAUACCAGCCUAUCUGCGCCCGAUCUCGUCUGAUCUCGGAAGCUAAGCAGGGUCGGGCCUUUUUAGUACUUGGAUGGGAGACCGCCUGGGAAUACCAGGUGCUGUAAGCU